rnacentral:rRNA from 1 species
UGGACCUACGGGAGCAGCAGUGGGGGAUAUUGCACAAUGGGGGAAACCCUGAUGCAGCGACGCCGCGUGUGGGAAGACGGUCUUCUGGAUUGUAAACCACUGUCCCCAGGGACGAAAAUGACGGUACCUGGGGAGGAAGCUCCGGCUAACUACGUGCCAGCAGCCGCGGUAAUACGUAGGGAGCAAGCGUUGCCCGGAAUUACUGGAUGUAAAGGGAGCGUAGGCGGGGAUGCAAGUUGGGUGUCAAAACUAACGGCUCAACCGAUAGUCGAACUCAAAACUG